CCUACGGGUGGCAGCAGUGGGGAAUAUUGGUCAAUGGGCGCAAGCCUGACCCAGCAACGCCGCGUGAAGGAAGAAGGCUUUCGGGUUGUUAACUUCUUUUCUCAGGGACGAAGCAAGUGACGGUACCUGAGGAAUAAGCCAUUGCUAACUACGUGCCAGCAGCCGCGGGAAUACGUAGGUGGCAAGCGUUAUCCGGAUUUACUGGGUGUAAAGGGCGUGUAGGCGGGACUGCAAGUCAGAUGUGAAAACCAUGGGCUCAACCUAUGGCUUGCAGUUGAAACUGUAGUUCUUGAGUACUGGAGAGGCAGACGGAAUUCCUGGUGUAGCGGUGAAAUGCGUAGAUAUUAGGAGGAACACCGGUGGCGAAGGC
rnacentral:rRNA from 1 species